GACUGAAGCUUUUCAGAUUUAUUUUCUGGGAUUAUCUCUUUGUCCAGAUCAAUCCUCAUCAUCUUGCUCAUCUAAGGGGGUAAUUUAAAAAGAGACUGAUGGAACUACGCAGACAGGAUGUCUCAAAGACAGAGAGACAAGCCUACCUUCCCAGAAAAAAAGGAGCAUAUCCUCACUUUCAUCUCAUGCCAGAUUCAUUAGGUCAUGCCUUAGAAGGACAUCAAGGCUUUGGGGAGCUUUUAUGAGACACACUGGAGCAAUCAGGAGGGAAAUCCAUCAAGGUUUUCAGCAGUUACCUUAUGUAAGGCCAAAGUACACGUGU